rnacentral:rRNA from 1 species
CGCGUAGGCGGGGAUGCAAGUCAGAUGUGAAAUCUAUGGGCUUAACCCAUAAACUGCAUUUGAAACUGUAUCUCUUGAGUGUCGGAGAGGUAGACGGAAUUCCUAGUGUAGCGGUGAAAUGCGUAGAUAUUAGGAGGAACACCAGUGGCGAAGGCGGUCUACUGGACGAUAACUGACGCUGAGGCGCGAAAGCGUGGGAGCAAACA